CUAAUACAUGCAAGUAGAACGCUGAAGAGAGGAGCUUGCUCUUCUUGGAUGAGUUGCGAACGGGUGAGUAACGCGUAGGUAACCUGCCUUGUAGCGGGGGGAUAACUAUUGGAAACGAUAGCUAAUACCGCAUAACAAUGGGUGACACAUGUCAUUUAUUUGAAAGGGGCAAUUGCUCCACUACAAGAUGGACCUGCGUUGUAUUAGCUAGUAGGUGAGGUAACGGCUCACCUAGGCGACGAUACAUAGCCGACCUGAGAGGGUGAUCGGCCACACUGGGACUGAGACACGGCCCAGACUCCUACGGGAGGCAGCAGUAGGGAAUCUUCGGCAAUGGGGGCAACCCUGACCGAGCAACGCCGCGUGAGUGAAGAAGGUUUUCGGAUCGUAAAGCUCUGUUGUAAGUCAAGAACGAGUGUGAGAGUGGAAAGUUCACACUGUGACGGUAGCUUACCAGAAAGGGACGGCUAACUACGUGCCAGCAGCCGCGGUAAUACGUAGGUCCCGAGCGUUGUCCGGAUUUAUUGGGCGUAAAGCGAGCGCAGGCGGUUUGAUAAGUCUGAAGUUAAAGGCUGUGGCUCAACCAUAGUUCGCUUUGGAAACUGUCAAACUUGAGUGCAGAAGGGGAGAGUGGAAUUCCAUGUGUAGCGGUGAAAUGCGUAGAUAUAUGGAGGAACACCGGUGGCGAAAGCGGCUCUCUGGUCUGUAACUGACGCUGAGGCUCGAAAGCGUGGGGAGCGAA
rnacentral:rRNA from 1 species